rnacentral:rRNA from 1 species
UACGUAGGGGGCAAGCGUUGUCCGGAUUUAUUGGGCGUAAAGAGCGUGUAGGCGGCUUUACAGGUCCGUUGUGAAAACUCGAGGCUUAACCUCGAGACGCCGGCUGAAACCCUCUGGCUAGAGUCCGGAAGAGGAGAGCGGAAUUCCUGGUGUAGCGGUGAAAUGCGCAGAUAUCAGGAAGAACACCCGUGGCGAGGGCGGCUCUCUGGGACGGUACUGACGCUGAGACGCGAAAGCGUGGGGAGCGAACAGG